AAUCACUUGUUCUUUAAAUGAGGACUUGUAUCAACGGCACCACGAGGGUUAUACUGUCUCCUUUCUCUAAUCAGUGAAACUGAUCUCUCCGUGAAGAAGCGGGGAUACUCCUAUAAGACGAAAAGACCCCAUGGAGCUUCAAACCCAACUACACCCUUAACUACCACAACCGCACAACCUCUUAGGGCCCUGUAUAGUUGGUUUUAGGUUGGGGCGACCAC
rnacentral:rRNA from 1 species